GCAAAGGCUCCCCUACCCGGGAGGACUGAUGGGAGACAGCUGCGGUUCCUCUUGCUCUUACUUUCUCAAAAAGGUGCACCAGGGUUCGGAGCCUCAAUCGAGCAGAAACAAGAAUAUCAGAACAAAGAUAAAGGAAAGAAAGUUUGUGAUUCUGGAAAGUAUUGGGAGAAUAGAUUUCUACUUCUCCAUUAUACGUAAUCAAUAACCUAAGCUCAGAAGGUUGGACAGAUCAGCCAUAGUUCACAGCCUGUUGAAGAACUGAAAAUGGAGACACUAAAGGAAGAACUGGAGUUCAAGAUCAACGGAAGUGCUCAGGGGUAGAUUAGAGCUGUCAGAGGUCUAUAAUCUUUUCAUUUAAAAAAAUGAGAAUCUUGCAUGGGUCAUUUUGAAAGGAAAAGGGUUAGCGGUAAAAGUGAGAGAUGGGGUCAGGAUACUUCUGUUGAAUAGGCAUGAAGCCUGGAAAAUCAGUUCAAUUUGACUCUGCAAAUAUUAGAAGAGGUAUGUGGUUUGAUUUAGGAAAGAGUUUAAUAAAGUCAUUCUUUUAGUCAGAAAAAAAAAACCUCCCUAUCACUACUGAAUGCCAGGAAAAUCAAGUUUUUUAUUAUUAUAUUAAUAUGUAUAUCACCCAUAGGUAGUACACCAUGUUAUUUUUCAUAUGGCCACUGAAGGUGAAGCACUUCAUACAGUGGCAAAUAUGUUGAGCUUGCUAUCAUUAUAGAGGAUGAUGAUUUUCCUUACAAAAUUGACACUAAAACUGAAAUGGAGGGAAAACACUAAUUCCUGAUUUCUUACAUUUGGGGCAGGAGUAUUUAAUAUAAUAAACACGCUUGGGAAAGUAUGCAUAUGCAUAAGUAUGUGUAUCUUCAUCUACAUCCACCAUCUACCAAUCUAUCUAUCUAUAUGCAAAUUUUUCCAAAUGGUAGU